rnacentral:lncRNA from 1 species
UUUUUUUCUUUUUUUUUCUUUUUUUUUUUUUGUAGUUAAUUACAUAUAAGAUUUUACAAAUAUAGUAAAUUAUCAAUAUAUUUUAAUAAAAUUUAACUUUCAUAUAUUAUUCUUAUACAAAUUAUGAUAUUUUCAAAUAUAUUCUUAUCGUUAGAAUCUAUUAGAAAAAUUUAGAUAACUAUAGAUUAAAUAUUUAAUCCUAAUUAGUUAAUAAGGUGAAUCGAUCUUUUUACCCCUUUUCAAUUACAGUUGGGAUUUUUGGACGGACGUAUUUGUGAUGGCAAAAAAGUUAUUUCACUUAUAAAAUAGAUAGUGAUUUAACGAUAAUAAAUCAGAGGGACAUUGUCACACCCCGGAUUACCACAUUUUUCCCCGCACAGCAACAGACCCGUCGUAUACAUAAAAUUUUUUUAUGUAUACGAAGCGAUAGCUGUACUUGUAAACAAAAUG